UACGUAGGGGGCAAGCGUUGUCCGGAAUUAUUGGGCGUAAAGAGCUCGUAGGCGGCUCGGUAAGUCAGGUGUGAAAUUCCAGGGCUCAACCCUGGAACGCCACCUGAUACUGCUGUGGCUAGAGUCCGGUAGGGGAGCGUGGAAUUCCUAGUGUAGCGGUGAAAUGCGCAGAUAUUAGGAGGAACACCAGCGGCGAAGGCGGCGCUCUGGGCCGGAACUGACGCUGAGGAGCGAAAGCAUGGGGAGCGAACAGG
rnacentral:rRNA from 1 species